rnacentral:rRNA from 1 species
CACGUAGGGCGCAAGCGUUGUCCGGAAUUAUUGGGCGUAAAGAGCUCGUAGGCGGUCUGUUACGUCUGCUGUGAAAACCCUGGGCUUAACCCUGGGCUUGCAGUGGAUACGGGCAGACUAGAGGCAGGUAGGGGAGAAUGGAAUUCCCGGUGUAGCGGUGAAAUGCGCAGAUAUCGGGAGGAACACCGGUGGCGAAGGCGGUUCUCUGGGCAGUAACUGACGCUGAGGAGCGAAAGCGUGGGGAGCGAACAGG